GACGAACGCUGGCGGCGUGCUUAACACAUGCAAGUCGAACGAUGAAGCCGGAGCUUGCUCUGGUGAAUUAGUGGCGAACGGGUGAGUAACACGUGAGUAACCUGCCCUUGACUCUGGGAUAACUGCGGGAAACUGUAGCUAAUACCGGAUACGACCCUCGGAGGCAUCUCCUGGGGGUGGAAAGAAUUUCGGUCAAGGAUGGACUCGCGGCCUAUCAGCUAGCUGGUGAGGUAAAGGCUCACAAAGGCGACGACGGGUAGCCGGCCUGAGAGGGUGACCGGCCACACUGGGACUGAGACACUGCCCAGACUCCUACGGGAGGCAGCAGUGGGGAAUAUUGCACAAUGGGCGCAAGCCUGAUGCAGCAACGCCGCGUGAGGGAUGACGGCCUUCGGGUUGUAAACCUCUUUUAGCAGGGAAGAAGCGAAAGUGACGGUACCUGCAGAAAAAGCACCGGCUAACUACGUGCCAGCCGCCGCGGUAA
rnacentral:rRNA from 1 species